AACGAACGCUGGCGGCGUGCCUAACACAUGCAAGUCGAACGAGAAAGGGGCUUCGGCUCCGAGUAAAGUGGCGCACGGGUGAGUAACACGUAGGUAACCUGCCUCUAAGAUUGGGAUAACUUGUCGAAAGAUGAGCUAAUACCAAAUAAGACCACGGUUUCCUCGGGACAGGGUCAAAGGUAGCCUCUAUUUAUAAGCUAUCACCAGAGGAUGAGUCCGCGCACCACUAGCUAGUUGGC
rnacentral:rRNA from 1 species